GUCGUCAUCAAUUUCCUCCUGGUCGGUCGGGACCUCUGGAGGGCUGAAGAAAUUGAAGAAGGAAUCCGUUGGGACCUGCUUGACGAUGGUGCGCACUGCGCCGCGCUCCUUGUGCUUCUGCUUCUUGCGGAUGGUCUUCACAUCAUCCCUUGAUGUUGGUGUGUCCAGCUAGCUUACCGUGCACUUGUAAAUCUCUGGGCCUUCGAAUGCGAACGGAUCCUCGGGAUCCACGGUGGACUUCAGAACGUACUGUUUUGUGAGAACAGAGUUGGAGAAGUACUCGUUCUUGUCGAAGUGGAACUCCAAGGUGUACGAAUGCUAAAAUGAAAUAAAAAUAAAGCGGGUUAGGCGGACAGGACUGCUGGAAUGUGGCCAAGAACUCA